UGGGAAACUGCCUGAGGAGGGGGAUAAUACAAGGAAACGGUAGCUAAUACCGCAUAACGUCGCAAGACCAAAGAGGGGGACCUUCGGGCCUCUUGCCAUCGGAUGUGCCCAGAUGGGAUUAGCUUGUUGGUGGGGUAACGGCUCACCUAGGCGACGAUCCCUAGCUGGUCUGAGAGGAUGACCAGCCACACUGGAACUGAGACACGGUCCAGACUCCUACGGGAGGCAGCAGUGGGGAAUAUUGCACAAUGGGCGCAAGCCUGAUGCAGCCAUGCCGCGUGUAUGAAGAAGGCCUUCGGGUUGUAAAGUACUUUCAGCGGGGAGGAAGGGAGUAAAGUUAAUUCUUUUGCUCAUUGACGUUACCCGCAUAUGAAGCACCGGCUAACUCCGUGCCAGCAGCCGCGGUAUUACGGAGGGUGCAAGCGUUAAUCGGAAUUACUGGGCGUAAAGCGCACGCAGGCGGUUUGUUAAGUCAUAUGUGAAAUCCCCGGGCUCCACCUGGGAACUGCAUCUGACACUGGCACGCUUGAGUCUCGUGAGGUGGGUAGAAUUCCAGGUGUAGCGGUGACUUGCGUAGAGAUCUGGAGGAAUACC
rnacentral:rRNA from 1 species